AAAGUCCUUAUGAAUUAAUGUUCUGAAUUGUACUAACUGAUAUACUGAACUUGUAUUAAUAGUGUCAUCAGAGGAAAUUUAAAACUGCCUCAGAUACCGUGCCUACACCGCUGACGAGAAAUCGUUAGUAGAAGCUUGUGAAGGUGGGAUCUGUUGUGGGGGCAUGACGACCCAAUUACUCUGAUAUCACUACUGUGUGUACAAACCAACACGCAGAAGGUUUGCGUCCU